rnacentral:rRNA from 1 species
AUUGAAUGCUGGCGGCAUGCCUUACACAUGCAAGUCGAACGGCAGCACGGGAGCAAUCCUGGUGGCGAGUGGCGAACGGGUGAGUAAUAUAUCGGAACGUGCCCAGUCGUGGGGGAUAACGUAGCGAAAGCUACGCUAAUACCGCAUACGAUCUAUGGAUGAAAGCGGGGGAUCGCAAGACCUCGCGCGAUUGGAGCGGCCGAUAUCAGAUUAGGUAGUUGGUGAGGUAAAGGCUCACCAAGCCGACGAUCUGUAGCUGGUCUGAGAGGACGACCAGCCACACUGGGACUGAGACACGGCCCAGACUCCUACGGGAGGCAGCAGUGGGGAAUUUUUGGACAAAUGGGCGCAAGCCUGAUCCAGCAAUGCCGCGUGCAGGAUGAAGGCCUGGUU